AUUGAACGCUGGCGGCAUGCUUUACACAUGCAAGUCGAACGGUAACAGGCCUUCGGGUGCUGACGAGUGGCGAACGGGUGAGUAAUGCAUCGGAACGUACCCAGAGGUGGGGGAUAACGCAGCGAAAGCUGUGCUAAUACCGCAUGUGAUCUGAGGAUGAAAGCGGGGGACCGAGCAGCAAUGUUUGGCCUCGCGCCUUUGGAGCGGCCGAUGUCGGAUUAGCUAGUUGGUGGGGUAAAGGCCUACCAAGGCGACGAUCCGUAGCUGGUCUGAGAGGACGACCCGCCACACGGGGACUGAGACACGGCCCAGACUCCUACGGGAGGCAGCAGUGGGGAAUUUUGGACAAUGGGCGCGAGCCUGAUCCAGCAAUGCCGCGUGCGGGAAGAAGGCCUUCGGGUUGUAAACCGCUUUUGGCAGGAACGAAACGGUGUCCGCUAAUACCGGGCGCUAAUGACGGUACCUGCAGAAUAAGCACCGGCUAACUACGUG
rnacentral:rRNA from 1 species